rnacentral:misc_RNA from 1 species
UGGUUUUUCAUUACAGGAAAAUUCGCUAGGAAGAAAAAGAAAGUUUCAAAACUGAAAUUUAUCAUAGUCAAUAAUCCCUCGAUCAAAACAUCACAAUACUGUAAAUCGUCAAUCCAAUUCUCCUACCAUGGCCGCCCAAUCCUCCGCCGCGGCCACCACCAACAUCAUGCUUGCAGUCUACGAGAAGAAAACGACCUCCCUCGACCUCUACCGUCCACUUCGCAACUACAUCUGCAUGGUCUACUCCGAGCGCGAGGCCCAGAACCUUGAUGACGACCUCCAAACACUUAAGCAGUAUCGCUCCGACCUUGAACGCCAAUCCGACCCUUCCCCCCCCUCCCGCCGUGACCUCCUUCAGAAUUACUUCAAAGCCCUUUG